CUGCCAUGAUGUUACGCACGUGCAAGUCUAUGGUAGUGGUAGGAAUUUGGGGGUACAUCUCCUCGCACUCAGGUGGAAGAAAUUCCUCGCCCUCAAGUCCAACUAAUUCAGGACCUGCAUCUCUGAUAUACCGUGGUGAGUCAUGCUUACUCUCGAUCUCCCCAUUACUUUCCAUUCCAUUUCUUGGAUGAAAGGAAUGCUGAUUUAAUUUAACAUGUUGUUCAAACUCAGAAGCACUUGAUGUGCUCAACUGCUGAUAUAUACAAGAAAUACCGGAUCUUGAUGAAGAUCAUAGUACACUUCAUUCACAAUUUAAAUUCUUAGCCUAUCUAUCAUCAUGUCCAGGUUGGUUCCUUCCUUGAUGCCUUCUCUCUUGACAAUCGAUGAAAUACACAACUAGCUUGCACAUAUUUAAGGAGCACGUACAGUUUCAUUGUGUAAAAAAUAGUAGCAGGUGAGUUUUUAUUCAAAGAAGUCUCCACCAGUCGACCUACAUAUAUAUACAUGCCUAAAUGAUCUCUUUGUUUGUAAACAGUUUAAUAUUUUGGUACUUUUCAUAGGUGGGUAUUUUAGCAGUUCAGCUAUCUGAAAGAGAAAAUGAGUUGCUUCAGCAGAAAACCGAGGUCAUGACAUUAGCCACUUCACUGAAACCGGUCAGUUCAUCACUUCAUCUUUGUUCGUUGGAAAGAUCUGUAUUCUGUUGACCUUUGUAAACACAUUUUAGCAUCAUUAUCCAUUCAGUGUUCUGUUUACCGUGUACUAUUAAAUGCCAUUUUCCAUGUGUAUUUUUGUUGAUUGCUGUUGGAUUUGGAGGCAAACUAAUUUCCUCCUUAAGUAUGAAUUAUCUGCCAUGUGUAUGACUUCGAAAUCUUCAGUUUGAAAUUAUGAAAGUUUGUUCCGCUCUUACAUUAAGCAAGUGUCCAGAGGAAGUUUUGCUUUUGUUUAGGCUCGAGAAACAAACUAUCACGCAGUAUUGUGAAUUUGAAAUGGUGCUCUUCUCUUCCAAAAAUGCAUAGCAAAAUUUCAGGGACCUGCAGAUAGUUUCUUGAGUAACAAAAUUUAGGAGGCCUGACUAAUUUUCUUAUGAUAGUUCAGACAUGCUGCCAAUGAAAUUAAACCCUUUACAGAAAAUAGCAAGUUGUUUACUCAUGUGUUGUUCUGUUAUUAGACUGUCGCGAUAAGUUAUCUUUUAGUUUUUACUGCAUCAAGGUUAAAGCUUUGUUUUCUUUUGAUAGCUGCGCCUUUUUCUUCUACAGUUUACAGAUAUUCUUUUUUUUCGAGAGUAAGCCAAAGACAUACCAUACUUUUAUAGAAGAGAGCAAAUAACAUGUACAAGAAGCCUCGAAAUGGAUGCGAACAUCCACUCUCGACCACACCCCAUUACAACCAAAGCCGGUCUACGCUAAACACCCCAUUACAGAUAAUUAUUUAUAGAUAUUCUGUAACAUCCUCGAUGCGGCUAUAUCUCCCACGUGUCGAAGCACGACUUAGAGGUAUAACCGCAUUGAAAGCAAUGUCGCAAGUGAGGUAAUCUUCACACAACCCAUGUAAUACAUAAGGGAAAGAGAUACAUAGUUGGCUUACAAUCGCCACUUCACACAAUUACAUGAAUAAAGCAUUACAUCAACCAGAUACAAUCAAGGUCCGACUACGGAACCAAAAUAAAAGAAGACUACCCCAAAUGCUACACAGAUCCUCGAUCGUCCCAACUGGACUCCACUACUGAUCAACUGGAAACGGAACAACAUAAAGAACACGAUCUUCAUAGAGCUCCUCCUGGAGCUUGGUUGCGUCACCUGCAAGCUAUCAUCGACACCUGCAAGCUGGUUUUGGAAGUAAUCUGUGAGUCGACUCAGCAAUCUCACACCCUCGCGAUCAAGACUAUUUAAGCUUAUGGGUAAGGUAAAGGUAUGAGGUGGAGCUGCAGCAAGCGACUAGCAUAUAUGGUGGAUAACCUUACGCAAAUGAGAGCGAGAAGAGAAGGCAAAGCACGGUCGAGAAACUAUGAUCAAGAAGUGAUCCUAAAACAACCUACGUCAAGCAUAACUCCAACACCAUGUUCACUUCCCGGACUCCACCGAAAAGAGACCAUCACGGUUACACACGCGGUUGAUGUAUUUUAAUUAAGAUCAACUUCAGGUUUUCUACAACCGGACAUUAACAAAUUCCCAUCUGCCCAUAAUCGCGGGCACGGUUUUCGAAAGUUCAAAUCCCUGCAGGGGUGUCCCAACUUAGCCCAUCACAAGCUCUCACGGUCAACGAAGGAUAUUUCUUCUCCCAAGACAAUCCGAUCAGACUCGGCAUCCCGGUUACAAGACAUCCUCGACAAUGGUAAAACAAGUCCAGCAAAGCCGCCCGAAUGUGCCGACAAAUCCCGAUAGGAGCUGCACAUAUCUCGUUUUCAAGGCACACUCAGAUGAGACAUCCUACGAGAAAAACCAACCCUCAAGUUGCCCCGAGGUGGCCCCGCAGUCUACUCGGUUCGGACCAACACUUAGAGAAGCACUGGCCUGGGGGGUUAAUAAAGAUGACCCUUGAGUCUGCAGAACCCAAGGGAAGGUGGUAGGUUGUUAGUGCAAAUGGUAAAACCAAGGUUGGGCCUUACUGGAGAAGUUUUAUUUAAGGCGAACUCUCAAGGGGUUCCCAUUAUAACCCAACCGUGUAAGGAACGCAAAAUCCGGGAACAUAACACCGAUAUGACGGAAACUAGGGCGGCAAGAGUGGAACAAAACACCAGGCAUAAGGCCGAGCCUUCCACCCUUUACCAAGUAUAUAGAUGCAUUAAUUAAAUAAGAGAUAUUGUGAUAUCCCAAUAAAAUAUCCAUGUUCCAACAAGGAACAAAAUCCAAUCUUCACCUGCAACUAGCAACGCUAUAAGAGGGGCUGAGCAAAGCGGUAACAUAUCCAAACAACGGUUUGCUAGGACAAGGUGGGUUAGAGGCUUGGCUCAACAAUAUGGGAGGCAUGAUAAACAAGUGGUAGGUAUCACGACAUAGGCAUAGCGAAAGAGAGAGCAACUAGCAAGCAAAGAUAGAAAUGAUUUCGAGGGUAUGGUCAUCUUGCCUGAGAUCCCGCAAGGAAGAAGAACGAGUUCAUGAAGAAGACAAACGGACGUAGUCGAACGGAUCCUCACAAACGCAACGUUAUCGAAACUAGCCCGAAGAAGCAACAUCGGAAAGAAGCAAACAACAUAGUAAACAACCACCACAUAAGCAAGGUUGUCAGAAUCGCGAUUCUAUUGUACGAUUCUAUGACUUUACGAUCCAAACUAAGCCCUCUGAUUCUAUGAUUUUGGUUCAUAGAAUCUACGUUUUUACGAUCCUGGUAGUUAAGAUUCUACGAUUUGCGAUCCUGCCAUCGGACUUCCGAUCCGAUUCAGAAUCACGAUUCUGACAACCUUGCACAUAAGCAUGGCACACUAUUAGGGAAAAGCCUAGCAGCAGCGCGGGUUUUGGGCCUAUUAGUAGCGCGGGGGGGCGGCGCUACUAAUAAGGCGCUACAGCUAACGUAUAGCAGUAGCGCGGGUGCCACCCGCGCUACUACUACGUCCGUUAGUAGUAGCAUGGGUAAAAACCCGCGCUACUACUAACCCGCGGAAUUUCUUUUUCAAAUUUUUUGCCCGAAUUUUCAAAUUUCUGAAUUAUUUUAACCUCUAAUCUCUAAUCACCCUCAUCGCUGCUCAAUUUAAUCUCUAAUCACCCCUCAUCAUUCCAAAUCAUCUAACUUCCCGGACGGUCACCCAUCCUCUCACUACUCCAGCCUAAGCACGGUUAACUUCCGGGUUCUAUUCUCCCUCGAUUCCAAGUUUGCACUUGUUGUUUUCCUGACAAUAGUAAGAUGUCAAUCCUAUUAACCCUCCGGAGUUUAGCUUGAGCAUGAAGUCACACAUUUCGCUGUUUGAGUUUAAAACUAUUGUUCUAAAAAACAAUAAUUAUUUAGUAACACUAAUAUUUCUUGAAUAAGGAGUUUGACCACAUUUUCACCAAAGUUUGACCACAGUUUGACCAGAUUUGACCAAAAUUCCAAAAAACUGAAAUAAUUAUUUAGUAACAUAAUAUUCUUGAAUAAUUAUUUAGUAACACUAAUACUCCUUGAAUAAGUAGUUUGACCACAGUUUGACCAGAUUUGACCAAAUUAAAAAAACUGAAAUUUGAGCAUAACUUUUUUUCCUUUUAGAAUUUGAGGAUUCUAAAAAUUUGCAAAUAGGCCAAAGGCCGUCUCCAUCGUAUGUGGAUUUUCGUGCUGAAUAUUUUGAUAUAUUAUACGUUUUUUUCUGGCAUCGUAUGCAAAAGUUAUAGCCGUUUUACAUUUUUCCUACACUUUUUGCAAAACAUGUCCAAAUUUAAGUUUUUUAAUUUUCCUAACUAGUAGAUGUAGUAACAUAACUACAUCUCGAAGGAUUUUAAUUUUUGAAACAUUUUGAUAUAUUAUACGUUUUUUUCUAACAUCGUAUGCAAAAGUUAUAGCCGUUUUACAUUUUCCCUACACUUUUUGCAAAACAUGUCCAAAUUUAAGUUUUUAAAUUUUCCUAACUAUUAGAUGUAGUAACUUAACUACAUCUCGAAGGAUUUUAAUUUUUGAAGUUUUUAUNNNNNNNNNNNNNNNNNNNNNNNNNNNNNNNNNNNNNNNNNNNNNNNNNNNNNNNNNNNNNNNNNNNNNNNNNNNNNNNNNNNNNNNNNNNNNNNNNNNNNNNNNNNNNNNNNNNNNNNNNNNNNNNNNNNNNNNNNNNNNNNNNNNNNNNNNNNNNNNNNNNNNNNNNNNNNNNNNNNNNNNNNNNNNNNNNNNNNNNNNNNNNNNNNNNNNNNNNNNNNNNNNNNNNNNNNNNNNNNNNNNNNNNNNNNNNNNNNNNNNNNNNNNNNNNNNNNNNNNNNNNNNNNNNNNNNNNNUGGUAGAGUUUCAAAAUGGGACCUUUAGUAGUAGCGAGGGUUUUUACCCCUCGCUACUACUAUGGCAUGUCCCGGAGGGGCACGAUUGAGACGUCUUAGUAGUAGCGAGGGGUAAAAACUUAGUAGUAGCGCGGGUUUAUAACCCUCGCUACUACUAUGGCAUGGCCCAGGGGCACGGUAGAGACCGCUUAGUAGUAGCGAGGGGGUAAAAACUAGCGCUACUGCUAUCAACUUAGUAGUAGCGAGGGUUAAAAACCAGCGCUACUGCUAUCAACUUAGUAGUAGCGAGGGUUAAAAACCCGCGCUACUAGUAAGUAGCAGUAGCGAGGGAUAUAAACCCGCGCUGCUAGUAAGCGUCUGUGUAUAAGCUUUUUCCUAGUAGUGGCAUGAUGCACAAUCAAGUAUGAUACAUGUCUGGUUUAAAAAUGCAUGGCAUGGCAAAGUGCACAAACAAAACUACAAAUUAAGUGGAGCUCAAUAUGCAUCGGGAUGCAUAUUGACGGAACACCACAUCAAUUAUUUAGUUCUCUCACGGUUAGGUACUCAACAACAUUAAAGGUUGGUUAACAUGGCAAGAGGUGAAACAUGAGUGAAAAUACACAGCUAGGCAUUUUAAAUGAGGCCGGAAACAACAACAACAAUUCCGGUAUAUCCUCAUGUGCAUUAGCAAUUUAAAGCAAACAACAAUUUUAAACAUCUUAAAGUUGUUAACAUGAUGCAGAUGACAUUUUCAAGUUUAUGCAAUUUUUAUGAAAAAGUUGGCAUGAUAAGAUAUGAGGCAUUUGUCAUCGUGGCGGAAACGAAAGGGGUGCCAUGGCAACAACAAUGGAGAUGGUGCCACGGCAACAUUCUGGCUCCGGUAAUUCGAUUGAGAUACUGAUGCAAAGGAGAAGUGCGGAUGUGGGCAAAAGAUGGUGGGGCGUUCCCGGAUUCCGGGUGUCCCAUGAGUUGGCGACAAGGGAACGAGUGACAAUUUGGACACGGUGCAAACACGAGCAUCUCAAACAUCGCAAGCAUUCGUUCACGGACGUCGUCUCGAGGUUAUACCUUCGAAGUGUGUGUUAUCGGAGGGGUUCGAGUACAAUGCGGUGUAGGGGAAGUAGACGUUCUCGGGAUGUCGAGGGAAGUAGUGGUUCACGCGACGGUAGUCGAAGUAGUCGUCCUAUCGUUAAUCGGUGAUCAUCGGAGCGAUAGUGGUACAUGUUUCUUAGACGUUCGGGCGGCGUUAGUGGGGCACUUUUCCUGUAGAUGUUCGGGUCGAUGAGCGGGUACUUGGCGCAACAUAGGACUCCGGGGUCAUCAGGUACACGUUCACAUUGUGGCCAUACACAUCGAUGGUCUUAGCGAAACCUCGUCAACGGUCGAGAUCCACCUUGGCAAUACGAAGGGGUACUUGGCGUCAUGGUACUUGGGUCUUCGGACUUGCUGGUCUCGGUUCUUGCGACGGUAGUGGUACAAGGUCGUCAUGGGAAGUAGUCGUACUCGCGAACUUGUCGGAUACACGACGACGGUAGUGGAACUUCACGGAUCCGUGGCCUCCGGGCGUAAUGGUACUUGGCGAAUCCUGAAACGUUCUUGCUGAUCCAAAAUGGCACAAGUGAGAAGCACGUCCACGGAGUCUUCCGACUUGGGCUCCGGGUACAGGGUUUGACGAGCCCCGGUAGACGAUGGAGAAAGUCAACAACGUAGCAUCAACAACCAACGAGGCCACGAACAUGACUUGGGGCUCCCCGAACCCAUGAAAACGGCCAACAGGAGGCGGAUGCUAGUGGAGGCAGGGCCACGCCAAGGUCGAAGGUGGCCGGGCGAGCUCGACGGAGGUCGUCCGCGGUCGGACGAAGCAGCAGCAAGGCACGGCAGCAAGCGCGAAGCUGCAGCAGCACAGGUCAGGCGGCACGCGAGAAGAGCAACGGCAGCAGGGCGCGAUGGUGGUGGUCGAACGAGGCAGGGGCUGUCCACGACUGGAGCAGAGGAGGUCGACGAGUGGCGGCGCUGGGUGCUUGUAUGCAGGGAGGCGGAGCGAAGCAGAGCAGCAACGACAAGGCGAACCAGGCCAUGGUGAUGGGGAGACGAUGCAGAGGAGGGUUGGAGGCGCCGGAACGGACGACGGAGGGCGAGGGGCGUGCGGCUUUGCAAACACCAAGCGGAGGAAGAGAAGGGGCGCCAUGCAUGGGGCCUGCAGAGGGGAGGAGGCACGAUGGAGAGGAAAGCUUGGGGCGUCGGCGAGAUGGAGAUGGCACGGCUGCGGGGUGGACCUUCGGCGGCUCUAUGGAUCGAGGAGGAAGGACGCUGAGGAGAUCGGGCGUCGGGUCAACCUCUGAUGGCGGCGGAGCAAGGGCUCACCGGAGCAGGGGGCCGCGGGCGCCAUGGGGCUCGGGGUCGCAGGGAAGAUGGGGAGCGACGUCGGGCGCUGUCGAGGGAGAUGAGUGAGGGGAUCGGGGAGAUGGCAUCGGUCAGAGGAGGGUCGAGUGCGGUUCCUCCUCUCUUGGCGGCGCUGAGGGAGGGAUCGAGAGGGAGAGGGCGCAGGAGGAUCGGGCAGAUGGAUAGCGCUAGGGUUGGAAAAGGGCGGCUGGGCCUUGGGAGGCCGGCCCAAUGGAAAGGAGAACGACAAGGGCCUGCUGGACUGCCUCUCCUACUCUUCUCCCUUAACCAAAAGAAAAAAAAAUAGAUAGAAGGGAAAAAAUAGAAAGAGAGGGUAUGGAUGGAAUUUGGGCAUGGAAGUUAAAUUCCCGGACUCACAAGAAUGCGCUGGUUCCAAGAAAAAUGGAAUAGCCAAGAUCGAACGAAAAGAAUUCAAACUCAUUUGGAAUUUAAUUCAAAUGGGUUUGAACUAGGACGAGGUUUUUGGAGUGACCAAAAAUGUUGAAAUUUUAGGUGGAGCUCCGGAAAAUGACGAAAGGAUUUAGGGAAAGUUUAGAGACGAGGAAAUAUAGUAAGAAAAGCAUGGAAUAUUUAUUAUAGCCCCCUAAUAUAGGGAGGAUAUGUUAUAAAGAGAAUCACCACGUGAAUUCCCUCGGUUUAAAUGGACCGAAGAUCCAUGCAAUUUAUUUAGUGAGUUAAGAAAAAGAAAUGACAUGAUGACAUGAUGCAAUGCACAUGAUGCAAUGAUGAAUGCAAUGAACCAAACAAAUAACACGACGAAACCCGAAAACCCUGGAAGGCAUCUGCAGCUCCGGUCUUGGGGCGUCACAUAUUCUCACAGAUUUGGGAUGCAACAAUGGUUAACCUGCUCUUCAUGUUUUUCGAUAAUUUCUUUGACCAUCUGUUAAUUAGGCAUUACUAUGUAUCCGGAUUUUUUCUAAGAUAUCUUUUAUGCCAUCAUGGCAUUGAACCAUGAGUGAAGCAAUGAUGUAAACAACUAUGGGGUAUAACCAUUUGGCUGUUGGACUAAACAUUACAUAUUUAGUAACUAUUUCGAAACACAAAAUUUCGUGAUGAAAAAAAUCAGCUUGUCCAUUUUCUUUUAUGGCUUGACUCUGUUCAAUCUUACAGAGAAAGGGACUGUUUUCUUUUUUUGUGACAUGACAGGAAGCAAGGUCAUGUGUGAGACGGAGGAGGCAACUGAUUUGGCUCUUCAUCACGUUGAGACUGUUGCAGCUAUGUGUGAUGUGUCAAUUUCUAUGAUGGGACAGAGGGUUGAAUCAGGAUGAUAUGGGUAAGAAAUAGCAAAUAAGUGACUAUUAGGGUGUCCAUACUAGCAACAUAAGUUACAUAAAUUUAUUGAUCUUGAACUAAUUUGCACAUUCUUUAUUUGUCCGUCAUUUAGUUUUGCUUCCAUCCGAAAAACAUAUAAAUCGGUAAUGAAGACAUGUACGGAUGAAAACUAUGUAAAUAUUGGACAACUAUUUAUUAACAAUUAUUUGA
rnacentral:lncRNA from 1 species